rnacentral:lncRNA from 1 species
GGAACUCUCUGAGUGGUCUGGAACUCUCUGAGUGGUCUGGAACUCUCUGUGGUCUGGAACUCUCUGAGUGGUCUGGAACUCUCUGUGGUCUGGAACUCUCUGAGUGGUCUGGAACUCUCUGUGUGGUCUGGGAGCUCUCUGAGUGGUCUGGAACUCUCUGAGUGGUCUGGGAACUCUCUGUGGUCUGGAACUCUCUGUGGUCUGGAACUCUCUGAGUGGUCUGGGAGCUCUCUGAGUGGUCUGGGAGCUCUCUGAGUGGUCUGGGAGCUCUCUGAGUGGUAUGGGAGCUCUCUGAGUGGUCUGGAACUCUCUGAGUGGUCUGGGAACUCUCUGAGUGGUCUGGAACUCUCUGAGUGGUCUGGAACUCUCUGAGUGGUCUGGAACUCUCUGUGGUCUGGAACUCUCUGAGUGGUCUGGGAACUCUCUGAGUGGUCUGGGAACUCUCUGAGUGGUCUGGGAACUCUCUGAGUGGUCUGGAACUCUCUGUGUGGUCUGGAACUCUCUGUGGUCUGGAACUCUCUGUGGUCUGGAACUCUCUGAGUGGUCUGGGAACUCUCUGAGUGGUCUGGGAACUCUCUGAGUGGUCUGGGAACUCUCUGUGGUCUGGGAGCUCUCUGAGUGGUCUGGGAACUCUCUGAGUGGUCUGGGAGCUCUCUGAGUGGUCUGGGAGCUCUCUGAGUGGUCUGGGAGCUCUCUGAGUGGUCUGGGAGCUCUCUGAGUGGUCUGGGAGCUCUCUGAGUGGUCUGGAACUCUCUGACUGGAACUCUCUGAGUGGUCUGGAACUCUCUGAGUGGUCUGGAACUCUCUGUGGUCUGGAACUCUCUGAGUGGUCUGGGAACUCUCUGUGGUCUGGGAGCUCUCUGAGUGGUCUGGGAACUCUCUGAGUGGUCUGGGAGCUCUCUGAGUGGUCUGGGAACUCUCUGAGUGGUCUGGGAACUCUCUGAGUGCGGGCACAUGUCUAGUGGUUAAGCGUGUUGGGCCAGUAACCGAAAAGUCACUGGUUCGAAUUCCAGUGAAAGAUCUGUUGAUGUGCCCUUUAGCAAGGCACUUAACCCUGAUUGCUCCUGUAAGGUGCUCUGGAUAAGAGCGUCAGCUAAAUGACUCAAAUGUUAAAUGUAAAUGUGUCUCUUCAGCACAGCCUCCCUGUUGAGCCAAGUGGGGGCUAUAUGUCUCUUCAGCACAGCCUCCCUGUGGAGUCAAGUGGAGGCUAUGUGUCUCUUCAGCACAGCCUCCCUGUGGAGCCAAGUGGAGGCUAUAUGUCUCUUCAGCACAGCCUCCCUGUGGAGCCAAGUGGAGACUAUGUGUCUCUUCAGCACAGCCUCCCUGUGGAGCCAAGUGGAGGCUAUGUGUCUCUUCAGCACAGCCUCCCUGUGGAGCCAAGUGGAGGCUAUAUGUCUCUUCAGCACAGCCUCCCUGUGGAGCCAAGUGGAGACUAUGUGUCUCUUCAGCACAGCCUCCCUGUGGAGCCAAGUGGAGGCUAUAUGUCUCUUCAGCACAGCCUCCCUGUGGAGCCAAGUGGAGGCUAUGUGUCUCUUCAGCACAGGCUCCCUGUGGAGCCAAGUGGAGGCUAUAUGUCUCUUCAGCACAGCCUCCCUGUGGAGCCAAGUGGAGGCUAUGUGGCUCUUCAGCACAGCCUCCCUGUGGAGCCAAGUGGAGGCUAAUUGCUAGUAGAUGAGGUUGAUGGGCACAUGUAAGAUGAGGGCCAUGAGGACAGCUCUCAAUAGCAGUGAAAGUGAGGAAUUCACCUACACAUGGAACCAGGAGAAGCACAUUCUUGACAAAUGCACUCAAACUGCCAAAGAGUGGCUGGUCUGAGAAGAAAUGACUUGCUGUCUUCCUGAAGCCCUGUGUGUGCUGUCCUGUAGCUGAGAGCAAAUAAAAGCAAAGUGCAGCACUAUCCAUUGGAGAUUAUGACAGCAGCAUAUACUGUAGGCCUAUAUCAUAUUACCCUGACCAUACACUCAGCCAUUCUCUCUCAGAACUGAUCAAUAUUGUGAUCUAAAGCCAACGUUGACUCUCCCGAGUGGCGCAGCGGUCUAAUGCACUGAAUCACAUUGCUUGAGGCGUCACUACAGACCCGAGUUCGAUGCCAGGCUGG